UUUAUACUCUCUCCGUACCAAAAUUCUUGUCUUCGAUUUGUCUAAAUACGGAUGUAUCUUGUCACGUUUUAGUGUUAGAUGCUUCUCUAUCUUGAUAAAUUUAAAACAAGAAUUUUGGGAUGGAGGGAGUAGAAA
rfam:Triticum aestivum genome assembly, contig: Triticum_aestivum_CS42_TGACv1_scaffold_227001_3B